CACGUAGGGUGCGAGCGUUGUCCGGAAUUAUUGGGCGUAAAGAGCUCGUAGGCGGUGUGUCGCGUCGGCCGUGAAAACCUGCAGCUUAACUGUGGGCUUGCGGUCGAUACGGGCAUCACUGGAGUUCGGCAGGGGAGACUGGAAUUCCUGGUGUAGCGGUGAAAUGCGCGAGAUAUCGGGAGGAACACCGGUGGCGAAGGCGGUUCUCUGGGCCUUACCUGACGCUGAGGAGCGAAAGCGUGGGGAGCGAACAGG
rnacentral:rRNA from 1 species